ACUCCUACGGGAGGCUGCAGUGGGGAAUAUUGCACAAUGGGCGAAAGCCUGAUGCAGCAACGCCGCGUGAGGGACGAAGGCCUUCGGGUUGUAAACCUCUUUUAGUAGGGAAGAAGGGAGCUUGCUCUUGACGGUACCUGCAGAAAAAGCACCGGCUAACUACGUGCCAGCAGCCGCGGUAAUACGUAGGGUGCAAGCGUUAUCCGGAAUUAUUGGGCGUAAAGAGCUCGUAGGCGGUUUGUCGCGUCUGCUGUGAAAACUGGAGGCUCAACCUCCAGCCUGCAGUGGGUACGGGCAGACUAGAGUGCGGUAGGGGAGAUUGGAAUUCCUGGUGUAGCGGCGGAAUGCGCAGAUAUCAGGAGGAACACCAAUGGCGAAGGCAGACCUCUGGGCCGUAACUGACGCUGAGGAGCGAAAGCAUGGGGAGCGAACAGGAUUAGAUACCCUGGUAGUCCAUGCCGUAAACGUUGGGAACUAGAUGUAGGGUCCAUUCCACGGAUUCUGUGUCGCAGCUAACGCAUUAAGUUCCCCGCCUGGGGAGUACGGCCGCAAGGCUAAAACUCAAAGGAAUUGACGGGGGCCCGCACAAGCGGCGGAGCAUGCGGAUUAAUUCGAUGCAACGCGAAGAACCUUACCAAGGCUUGACAUAUACCGGAAACGGCUGGAAAC
rnacentral:rRNA from 1 species